GAUGAAGAACGCAGCGAAAUGCGAUACGUAAUGUGAAUUGCAGAAUUCAGUGAAUCAUCGAGUCUUUGAACGCACAUUGCGCCCCCUGGUAUUCCGGGGGGCAUGCCUGUUCGAGCGUCAUUUCACCACUCAAGCCUCGCUUGGUAUUGGGCAACGCGGUCCGCCGCGUGCCUCAAAUCGACCGGCUGGGUCUUCUGUCCCCUAAGCGUUGUGGAAACUAUUCGCUAAAGGGUGUUCGGGAGGCUACGCCGUAAAACAACCCCAUUUCUAAGGUUGACCUCGGAUCAGGUAGGGAUACCCGCUGAACUUAAGCAUAUCAAUAAGCAGAGGA
rnacentral:misc_RNA from 1 species